rnacentral:ncRNA from 2 species
CUGUCCGAGGGGCGCUGCAGCAGGUUUUCCCUGUCAGGCUCGGAUGGGGCGUUGUUUGACCGGUCCACUGGUCAAGCCUUAAACGCACAACGGCGCCCAUUCGCA